UGAGAAGGGAGUUGCUGCUCCUUUCCUGGGGUAAGCUAUUUGAGAAAGAAAGUAACCUAACACUAAGUGCAGGCGGGGCGGGGUGAUGUAACAGGAAGCUGUGAUGUUUCCCUUCUGCUGCUGAUCGCUUACAAUCUGACAACACUCCCCAUCUACUCAGAGCAAGCCCUCUCUUCGCAGCGUGCACUUCUGCCUUAGGACCGGCGGGCUCUGUUGCCUGGACCUCACGCUGCCUGCAGGACCACAUUGCAAAGCUUUCCACACCUCGCCUCCGGGAAACUCUUGUGCAGUAUCUCAGAAAAUCAAACUCCCUCCUGAGACUAUUCCCACAGAAUUUCCUUAGGAGCUGUGCCAGGGCCCUAUGA
ensembl:lncRNA